CAAAAGGCUCUUUUCAGAGCCCCUUCAUUGUCACCAAAAGCAAGCUG
rfam:Neotoma lepida isolate 417 scaffold_786, whole genome shotgun sequence.